CCUACGGGUGGCAGCAGUCGAGAAUCAUUCACAAUGGGGGAAACCCUGAUGGUGCGACGCCGCGUGGGGGAAUGAAGGUCUUCGGAUUGUAAACCCCUGUCAUGUGGGAGCAAAUUAAAAAGAUAGUACCACAAGAGGAAGAGACGGCUAACUCUGUGCCAGCAGCCGCGGUAAUACAGAGGUCUCAAGCGUUGUUCGGAAUCACUGGGCGUAAAGCGUGCGUAGGCGGUUUCGUAAGUCGGGUGUGAAAGGCGCGGGCUCAACCCGCGAAUUGCACAUGAUACUGGGAGACUAGAGUAAGGGAGGGGGAGGCGGAAUUCUCGGUGUAGCAGUGAAAUGCGUAGAUAUCGAGAGGAACACUCGUGGCGAAGGCGGGUUCCUGGACAUUAACUGACGCUGAGGCACGAAGGCCAGGGGAGCGAAAGGGAUUAGAUACCCCAGUAGUC
rnacentral:rRNA from 1 species